rnacentral:rRNA from 1 species
UACGGAGGGUGCAAGCGUUGUUCGGAAUCACUGGGCGUAAAGCGCGUGUAGGCGGUUGGGGAAGUCAGAUGUGAAAGCCCCGGGCUCAACUCGGGAAUUGCAUCUGAAACUGCCCUGCUAGAGUCCCGGAGAGGAAGGCGGAACUCCCAGUGUAGGGGUGAAAUCCGUAGAUACUGGGAAGAACACCGGCGGCGAAGGCGGCCUUCUGGACGGUGACUGACGCUGAGACGCGAAAGCGUUGGGAGCAAACACG